rfam:Lonchura striata domestica isolate white83orange57 scaffold_4, whole genome shotgun sequence.
AAACAGGUUUUAUUAAAAACCAGCAAAGAGUUUAAAAGUAUGUUUCU